AUUGAACGCUGGCGGCAGGCUUAACACAUGCAAGUCGAGCGGGGGAAGGUAGCUUGCUACCGGACCUAGCGGCGGACGGGUGAGUAAUGCGUAAGAAUCUGCCUAUUAGUGGGGGACAACAUCUCGAAAGGGAUGCUAAUACCGCAUACGUCCUACGGGAGAAAGCAGGGGAUCUUCGGACCUUGCGCUAAUAGAUGAGCCUAAGUCGGAUUAGCUAGUUGGUGGGGUAAAGGCCUACCAAGGCGACGAUCUGUAGCGGGGCUGAGGGGAUGAUCCGCCACACUGGGACUGAGACACGGCCCAGACUCCUACGGGAGGCAGCAGUGGGGAAUAUUGGACAAUGGGGGGAACCCUGAUCCAGCCAUGCCGCGUGUGUGAAGAAGGCCUUAUGGUUGUAAAGCACUUUAAGCGAGGAGGAGGCUCUUUUGGUUAAUACCCAGAAUGAGUGGACGUUACUCGCAGAAUAAGCACCGGCUAACUCUGUGCCAGCAGCCGCCGUAA
rnacentral:rRNA from 1 species